UACGGAAGGCAGCAGGGGGAAUAUUGCACAAUGGGCGAAAGCCUGAUGCAGCUAUGCCGCGUGUAUGAAGAAGGCCUUAGGGUUGUAAAGUACUUUCAUCGGGGAGGAAAAAACAAAACUAAUAAUUUUAUUUCUUGACGUUACCCGAAAAAGAAGCACCGGCUAACUCCGUGCCAGCAGCCGCGGUAAUACGGAGGGUGCUAGCGUUAAUCAGAAUUACUGGGCGUAAAGAGCACGUAGGUGGUUUUUUUAAAGUCAGAUGUGAAAUCCCUGGGCUUAACCUAGGAACUGCAUUUUGAAACUGAAAUACUAGAGUAUCGUAGAGGGAGGUAGAAUUCUAGGUGUAGCGGUGAAAUGCGUAGAUAUCUGGAGGAAUACCUGUGGCGAAAGCGGCCUCCUAAACGAAUACUGACACUGAGGGUGCGAAAGCGUGGGGAGCAAACAGGGAUUAAUACC
rnacentral:rRNA from 1 species